GUUAACUAGCUCUUAUCUCUGUGAAAAUACAUACAGAAGGCCAGCCCAAGCGCAGCUAUGAUGGUAGGGUUGAGUAAUUGCCACGGAGACCAUCUAGCUAUCAAAACUUAAUGUGUGGCCCUUUGUAGAAACGCUGCUGACCACUGUAAGAAGAUAUCCUUCCAGUCUCGAGAAUUCCCCGGUGCCCCCGGCCACCGCCACCAGAUAAGAGGGCCAGAAGUCAGCACCGCCCCAAGGUGGUGUCGCCAGGACUCUCAUGGCUGACCCCACUUCUGCUCCAGAUGAGGAAACGAAGGCCCAGCCAGGGGAGCGGCUUGCCUGAGGUCCUCCAGUGCAUCGGUGCCAGACCAGGUGUUAGAGGCCAGGUUUCUGGAAUCCCAGCUUCCUGCCCUCCCCGGCCUAGCCUCUCACAGACUCCAGCUCUUUGCAGUUUGUGCAAGUUACCUUUAUAGUUUCUGACAUGCUGGCAUCUCACCUGCACUAUUAUUUCCUUCACAUUUAAACAGACUUUUUUUUUGUUUUACGUAAAUAAAUA